CCUACGAGAGGCAGCAGUGGGGAAUAUUGGGCAAUGGGCGCAAGUCUGACCCAGCAACGCCGCGUGAAGGAAGAAGGCUUUCGGGUUGUAAACUUCUUUUCUCAGGGACGAAGCAAGUGACGGUACCUGAGGAAUAAGCCACGGCUAACUACGUGCCAGCAGCCGCGGUAAUACGUAGGUGGCAAGCGUUAUCCGGAUUUACUGGGUGUAAAGGGCGUGUAGGCGGGGACGCAAGUCAGAGGUGAAAACCACGGGCUCAACCUGUGGCCUGCAUUUGAAACUGUGUUUCUUGAGUGCUGGAGAGGCAGACGGAAUUCCUAGUGUAGAGGUGGAAUGCGUAGAUAUUAGGAGGAACACCAGUGGCGAAGGCGGUCUGCUGGACAGCAACUGACGCUGAGGCGCGAAAGCGUGGGGAGCAAACAGGAGUAGAUACCCCAGUAGUC
rnacentral:rRNA from 1 species